CCUGGCUCACGACGAACGCUGGCGGCGCGCCUAACACAUGCAAGUCGAACGGAGUUGUGUUGAAAGCUUGCUGGAUAUACAACUUAGUGGCGGACGGGUGAGUAACACGUGAGUAACCUGCCUCUCAGAGUGGAAUAACGUUUGGAAACGAACGCUAAUACCGCAUAACGUGAGAAGAGGGCAUCCUCUUUUUACCAAAGAUUUAUCGCUGAGAGAUGGGCUCGCGGCCGAUUAGGUAGUUGGUGAGAUAACAGCCCACCAAGCCGACGAUCGGUAGCCGGACUGAGAGGUUGAUCGGCCACAUUGGGACUGAGACACGGCCCAGACUCCUACGGGAGGCAGCAGUGGGGGAUAUUGCACAAUGGGGGAAACCCUGAUGCAGCGACGCCGCGUGAGGGAAGACGGUUUUCGGAUUGUAAACCUCUGUCUUUAGGGACGAAAAAAUGACGGUACCUAAGGAGGAAGCCACGGCUAACUACGUGCCAGCAGCCGCGGUAAUACGUAGGUGGCAAGCGUUGUCCGGAAUUACUGGGUGUAAAGGGAGCGUAGGCGGGGAGACAAGUUGAAUGUCUAAACUAUCGGCUUAACUGAUAGUCGCGUUCAAAACUAUCACUCUUGAGUGCAGUAGAGGUAGGCGGAAUUCCUAGUGUAGCGGUGAAAUGCGUAGAUAUUAGGAGGAACACCAGUGGCGAAGGCGGCCUACUGGGCUGUAACUGACGCUGAGGCUCGAAAGCGUGGGUAGCAAACAGGAUUAGAUACCCUGGUAGUCCACGCCGUAAACGAUGAUUACUAGGUGUGGGGGGACUGACCCCUUCCGUGCCGGAGUUAACACAAUAAGUAAUCCACCUGGGGAGUACGACCGCAAGGUUGAAACUCAAAGGAAUUGACGGGGGCCCGCACAAGCAGUGGAGUAUGUGGUUUAAUUCGAAGCAACGCGAAGAACCUUACCAGGUCUUGACAUCGAGCGACGAACUUAGAGAUAAGUUCUUCCUUCGGGACGCGAAGACAGGUGGUGCAUGGUUGUCGUCAGCUCGUGUCGUGAGAUGUUGGGUUAAGUCCCGCAACGAGCGCAACCCUUAUCAUUAGUUGUACGCAAGAGCACUCUAAUGAGACUGCCGUUGAUAAAACGGAGGAAGGUGGGGAUGACGUCAAAUCAUCAUGCCCCUUAUGACCUGGGCUACACACGUACUACAAUGGUGAUCAAACAGAGGGAAGCAACACAGCGAUGUGAAGCAAAUCCCGAAAAAUCAUCUCAGUUCAGAUUGCAGGCUGCAACUCGCCUGCAUGAAGUCGGAAUUGCUAGUAAUCGCGGAUCAGCAUGCCGCGGUGAAUACGUUCCCGGGCCUUGUACACAC
rnacentral:rRNA from 1 species